rnacentral:rRNA from 1 species
AUGGCGACCAGGAUGUCAAAGGAGGAGCUGGCGGCGUAUCAGCCGAGGCCGGGGGUGCGCUGUGAGAAGGCAGCGGCGGAAUUUUUGGCGAGGAGGAAGAAGGAGAUGGAGUCAGAGCCUGAGGAGUCCCGCAACGAUCUGAAUGCAUACGAAGCCGGCCUCUACCGGGUUUUCUGGGAGCAGAUGUUCGCCAAGGACGGCGGCUCCUACGAAGACAUCACCAUGAUCCCUCCCAUGGCUUUCACUGAUCGUGACUGCAAGUUUGCCGGCCUCCAGUGCACUAUACAGAUUUUUUCUGUCAAAGUUGAGGAGACAACAGGAGGGUUGAAGUGGCCGUUGGAUGUCUACGGUAUGGUCGCCGUCCGUGAUGUGGUCGAUCACAACCGAAAUGUGAUCUUCCAUCGUGAGAGGGAUAACUGCCAAAUCAUUACCACAGAGGAUCCAUAUCUGGCAUUAACUGGUCCUGCCCGAGCUGUUGUGGUCUCUGUUCAUCCUAUAUACUUUGAUGUUGACCUUAAAGUGAAAGGUGGCACAAAGUCUAAAGACAAAGAUCUAAGCUUUCUAGCAGCCUGUUACAGUAGUAACGGCCCGUGGGGAUCCUGCUUGUUUGAUCGGGCUUGGACUAGCAAGCUCAGCACUCUAAAGUUUACAUUUGGUCACUUGGUUCACUCGGUGGAGGCCACGGUGAGCGUGAAACUAACUGGAGGGACGUGGCCCCAUGGUUAUCGAGGCGUCUUUACUGUUGAGACGUCUGGUAUUCCCGGAAAGGCCGUGUUGCUGCUGGAUUCUUGUGAUAGCAAACUGCCCGUGGAUGAUGAUGGUCAAGUGAAGCUUUCGCGCCGCAUUGCUUGCGUUGAGUUUGUUCAGCCUAUGGAUGAGCUUGGUAGGCCUAAUCUGAAAAUUUCGGUGGAGGCAGUGUGCAUCGAAGGAAAGGGUAAGGAUGAAAAGCUGAUGAAAGAUAAGAUAAAGCUUGGGAUGAAUUUUCUGCCCAAGAAAAGGGGUAGAAGCCGACAGGUUAUAGAGAUUCUCUCGUGUAAGAUGGAAGUAAAUGUUGCGUGGUCUCUUAUGUCGACCUUCAAGAGCAGCUAUAAGAAUGCCAUUGCAAGUCAUCUGGAAAGUCUAAGUUUGAUUUAG